CGGCGGGCGGGUGAGUAACGCGUGGGUAACCUGCCUCAUACAGGGGGAUAACAGUUGGAAACGGCUGCUAAUACCGCAUAAGCGCACAGUACCGCAUGGUACGGUGUGAAAAACUCCGGUGGUAUGAGAUGGACCCGCGUCUGAUUAGGUAGUUGGUGGGGUAACGGCCUACCAAGCCGACGAUCAGUAGCCGACCUGAGAGGGUGACCGGCCACAUUGGGACUGAGACACGGCCCAA
rnacentral:rRNA from 1 species